CCUACGGGAGGCAGCAGUGAGGAAUAUUGGUCAAUGGGAGAGAUCCUGAACCAGCCAAGCCGCGUGAGGGAAGACGGCCCUAUGGGUUGUAAACCUCUUUUGUCGGAGAACAAAACCCGGGACGAGUCCCGGACUUCGUGUAUCCGAAGAAAAAGCAUCGGCUAACUCCGUGCCAGCAGCCGCGGUAAUACGGAGGAUGCGAGCGUUAUCCGGAUUUAUUGGGUUUAAAGGGUGCGUAGGCGGGAUGUUAAGUCAGCGGUAAAAUUGCGGGGCUCAACCCCGGCGAGCCGUUGAAACUGGCGGACUUGAGUUGGCGAGAAGUACGCGGAAUGCGCGGUGUAGCGGUGAAAUGCAUAGAUAUCGCGCAGAACUCCGAUUGCGAAGGCAGCGUACCGGCGCCAGACUGACGCUGAGGCACGAAAGCGUGGAGAUCGAACAGGAUUAGAUACCCGAGUAGUC
rnacentral:rRNA from 1 species